CAAACAGUAAGAAGAUUCCCCUCUCUUUCUCAGUGGAUGUAAAGCAGUGAUUCUGCAUAAAUGUAUCAACACUAUAGCUCAACUCCUUCUGGAGUGGACUUCCCCUAGACCUGGAGAGCGAGUCCUGCCUAGCAUACACGGCCUGAAGUUCGAGAUCUCUUCCAAUUCAGGUCAACAAGAAAACUCAAUUCCUCUUCAGGAAGUUAAGUGACUUAAAGAUUACAUAAGAGCUAAGAAGACAAGCCAGCUAAGCAUGUUCAAGACCGGGCUUUUUGAAACUGCACUAAUUGAUCAUAACGAGACGGGGUUUCACCAUGUUGCCCAGGCUGGUCUAGAAGUCCUGGGCUGAAGCGAUCCGACCGCCUCCCAAAGUGCUGGGAUUACAGGAGUGAGCCAUCUCGCCCAGCCGAAAAAGUGUUUUUUGAUCUUAAAAUCUUACGUGGAAUGAAAGUGAACAAUGAGGCAAUGAAAGUGGAAGUUUCUCUUAAGCAAACACAGAAGUCAACCAUUCCAGCUUUCUAAGGCGUAGAGGCCCCCGGUUUAUCUUGGAACCUCAAGAGGAGAGAAAAUUCACCCAACUCACAGGUAUUUGAUGGCACAAAUCCAUGGCUGGGCUCUGCUUUAAAAACAUCUUAUCUGGUAUUCCUUCUAUGGAACAAGGUUCCAUCAAAGCCAAUAUAAAGCCUAUGUAAAAAAUAAUUUUUUUUGCA
rnacentral:lncRNA from 1 species